GUGGGGAAUCUUAGACAAUGGGGGAAACCCUGAUCUAGCCAUGCCGCGUGAGCGAUGAAGGCCUUAGGGUUGUAAAGCUCUUUCACCGGAGAAGAUAAUGACGGUAUCCGGAGAAGAAGCCCCGGCUAACUUCGUGCCAGCAGCCGCGGUAAUACGAAGGGGGCUAGCGUUGUUCGGAAUUACUGGGCGUAAAGCGCACGUAGGCGGACAUUUAAGUCAGGGGUGAAAUCCCGGGGCUCAACCCCGGAACUGCCUUUGAUACUGGGUGUCUGGAGUAUGGAAGAGGUAAGUGGAAUUCCGAGUGUAGAGGUGAAAUUCGUAGAUAUUCGGAGGAACACCAGUGGCGAAGGCGGCGUACUGGUCCAUUACUGACGCUGAGGUGCGAAAGCGUGGGGAGCAAACAGGAUUAGAUACCCGUGUAGUCC
rnacentral:rRNA from 1 species